ACUGGGUGUAGUGGUCUGCUUGUAGUUCCAGCUACUUGGGAGGCUGAGGGAGGAGGAUCGCCUGAGUCCAGGAAUUCUGGGUUGUAGUGUGCUAUGCCUAUCAGUUGUCUGCACUAAGUUUGUCAUCAAUUUCAUGUCCUCCUGAGAAUAGGAGACCAACAGGUUUCCUAAGGAGAGGUGAACCAGCCUAAGUUGGAAACAGAGCAAGUCAAAACUGCCGUACUGGUCAGUAGUGGGAUCUCACCUGUAAAUAGCUACUGCAUUCCAGCCUAGGCAACAUAGUGAGAUCCUGUCUCU
rnacentral:SRP_RNA from 1 species